ACGCAUCAGUCGCGCGAGCACAGGAGCGGAAGCCCCGUGGUUUUUAUUCCACCGUUGUCCAUUACAUGUCCGAGCCUCGGCUUUAUUUAUCUUUUCUUCGUCGAUGACGUCAUCGUCAUCCGAUGACCAUGAAUGCGCGUCCGUGAACCGCUUCACACGAUUUGUUCGCCAAUUAUUGUGUUUGCUGUGUAGUGAUGUGCGCCGGCACCGGCUGAGGAUUGUUCCAGGAUGACGACGGACCCCCCGUCCCCGCUGACGGAGCUCAAACCUACGGACCCCGCCGACGGACCCCCGGAAACUCAUGUCCCCAACUCGAGUGGCAAGCCGACGAUGGAUGGGGACUGCCCAGGAGAUCAUACCAGUGAUCAAGAAAAAAAUCAAUCGAACCGCAAUGUCUCGACGGAAACAACAACGCUACAGACUAGAUCUGCGUAUAUGAAAGAUGCUCAAGUGAUCAUACCAGAAACAGAGGAUGCUGCAUUCAGUUUCCGCAAGCUAUGGGCUUUCACAGGUCCAGGUUUCUUGAUGAGCAUAGCCUACCUUGAUCCUGGAAAUAUACAAUCUGAUCUACAAUCAGGGACUGUCGCAAAAUAUAAAUUAUUAUGGGUCCUCUUAAGUGCAACAUGCCUAGGUUUAAUCAUGCAGCGAUUUGCUGCCAGACUGGGUGUUGUCACUGGUCUACAUUUGGCAGAAAUGUGCUAUCGUCAAUAUCGCACUGCGCCACGACUAUUUCUCUGGCUCAUGAUGGAGGUAGCCAUCAUUGGAUCUGACAUGCAAGAAGUAAUCGGCACAGCUAUAGCUAUAUAUCUCCUUACUAAUAAAUUUGUUCCACUAUGGAUGGGCGUUUUGAUAACGGUAGUCGAUACUUUCACCUUUCUGUUACUCGAUAAGUAUGGCUUAAGAAAACUGGAACUUGUGUUCGGUUUCUUGAUCAUUGUGAUGGCUCUUUCUUUUGGAUAUGAGUUUGGAGUGGUCAAACCAGAAGUAGCCUCCAUCAUGGGUGGAAUGUUCACACCAUGGUGUAAAGAUUGUGACAGCACAGUGCUGGUGCAAGCAGUCGGUAUUAUUGGUGCUGUUAUAAUGCCGCAUAAUCUAUAUUUACACUCAGGACUUGUAAAGUCGAGAGAAGUUGAUCGCUCUAAGCAAGAAAAAGUUCGUGAAGCAAACCUUUACUUCUUUGUCGAAGCUAGUAUAGCUCUAUUUGUCUCAUUUAUUAUCAAUGUUUUUGUUGUGUCUGUGUUUGCACAUGGAUUGUAUAGAAAAACAAAUGAAGAUGUUAUGAAUGUGUGCCGUGCUAAUAAUAACCCAGACUGGAUUCUUUUUCCGAAUAACACGGAGCCUGCUGAUGUAAAUAUUUAUCGAGGAGGUAUAUUUUUGGGAUGCCAGUUUGGAAUUCCUGCAAUGUAUAUCUGGGCGCUAGGUAUUCUAGCCGCUGGUCAAAGUAGUACCAUGACGGGAUGUUAUGCUGGUCAAUUCGCCAUGGAAGGUUUUUUGAAUCUUCAGUGGAGCAGGUGGAAGCGAGUGGUUUUCACACGAUUGAUCGCAAUCCUUCCCACAUUUUUAGUCGCAUAUUAUAGUAAGAUUAACGAAUUAAGUGAUAUGAAUGACCUUCUGAAUGCCGUCAUGAGCAUGCAGCUUCCGUUUGCUGUGAUACCAACUAUUGCCUUCACUAGUAAUCCACAUAUAAUGGGAUCGUUCACCAACGGAGUUGGAAGUAAAGUUGUGGCCUGUAUAAUAUCUGCACUCAUCAUAGCAAUUAACAUAUACUUUAUCUCAUUUGUGAUGAUUAAAUAUUUGCUAAGUCACUGGUCAUUAACAGUAUUCAUCAUUGCGUACCUGACCGUCUACAUUUUAACGUGUAUCUACCUUAUUUUACACAUGUUCAUAAGCAUGGGUGUUGAUAAUAGAUUCUCAAAUAGUAAAUUUGUUCAGAGUUUAAUUGGGACGCAAAUCACGCAUGACUUUGUACAUAAUCCGGAUGCAGCUUCUUCGAACAGGUAUUCUUCUGUCCAUUGAUUAUAAUGAAGAGGACUCUGUUAGAUCUCAGUGAAGCCUCACUCUAGUGCACCUCAGUGUUUUAAGACGCCCUUGUUCCUUACUAAUGUGGAACAGAAACAUGGGAACCAUGUCCUCUCCAACUCAUCAACUCUCCGACUAUUCAAAGUAAACUUCAUAAUGAUGGAAUGUUUGGAAUUUUUAUUCGUACUACCACUCCGGACCACUGAUCAUCCCAGCAGCGAAAUUUCACUAGUAUGAUGUAUGUACAAAUCAAUACCUAUGACAUUGUAAAUAUUUAGGCACUUUUAAAAAAUCAUCGAUUUUGUAAACGAAUAAUUGAUUUCUUCUGCAAGGACCCAUGUUUAUUCUGUAAAGUGUUAUAUGUAUGAAGUAUGUUUUUUGUUAAAAAUUCUCAAUACAUAAGGAACAAAGUUCUAUCCUCAGAGAUACCAUGUUAGAUUUUAGACUUAAAUUUUCAAAAGACAAUGCAGUGGUAAGGAACUCUCUCAGAAAUUUAUAAUUUAGUUCAUUUCUUGAGUUUUUUAAGUCAGAAUAACCAAAAUAUGCAGAAAAAGAAGACAUAAUGAUUAGGUAAUAAUUAGAGUAAGAGAAUAUGAGUAUAUCCAUCAUUGAGAAAUUAAACUUUUAUUUUUACUCAGUCCCAUUCCUCCUUCUUUGCCUUUUAAUUAACUUCAACGCCUCUAUGGAUUGGAACCGACUCAUAUUCAGCAAUCAUUUUUGAGCUUUUCUUUACAACAUUAUUUAAGAAUAAAAGGGAAAUAAUAAAUUGAUCAAUUUUUUUGCUGGCUUAACAAUUCAUAGAUUAAAAAUAUUUAGAUUUGAUGGCAUUUUGCUGGAAACGUGAAAGAAAUUUAAAAAUCUUUUUUUACUGUCAAGCAUGUAAUCGAAUGUAAUCCUUAAAUCAUAAAUUUAUUUGAUUAUCCUUUCUCUCUGAAGGUCCCCAUAAACCUUUGCUCUCAAACCAAGUGGGCUUCCUGAAAGGGAGCUGUUUGAGGAUGAACUAUAAUACGAGCCUCCAGAUUUUUGAGAUAACAUUUGUUCAAACUGAUAUAACUAUCCAUUCUUCAGAAGUAGCGUCUUCUUUUCUUGGAAUCAGUAAUUUUCUUAGACCUACUUAAUUUCUUAAAUUGACUAUUCAUCUUUUUAUUUUUGAGUUUGAUUGCUCUAAUUUACUUUAGGAUGACUGCAUUGUUUGAGUUGAGGUAAUGACUCAUGAUCUUUCUGGAGAUUUAAUUUUUACACUUUGUUUUUCUUUCUCUCCUUUUGCUUUCUUCGAGAAUCAUCACACUCCAUACCACUUUUAUUGGCAAGAAAGCGAAAAUCAUUCAGUUUCCGUCCAGCUUUUCACUUAUUGCAGCUGUGCAUUGUCGUGUUAGCGUUGCAACUAUGAAAUGGAAGUUAAAAGCAUAGCCUGUUUUCUCUUGUUUUCUUUUUUCUAAUUUAAGUAAAGCUAUGAGUGAGGAAUUUGUCAAAGACUUAUGUAUAUUCAUUCUAAAGCAUGCACACUGAAGUCCACGCCACAAGAAGUGGCAGGUGGGGGGCAUAGUCAAUUCAGUAGCUCGGUGUUAGGUCUAAAGGUUAAUUGGCUUCAGCGAGCGGGGGUCCUUCAAACAAACCAAAGUACCUGUUUUUCAGUUCUUGAAAAUACUCUGAGGCAGUCCCUUAUUCCGCCUCUCAUCUAUCGCUUUUUGGGGGGUGAACUAUAGCCAGUGCUUCCAUUUCUCUUUCUUUUAUUGUUUAUUUUCAUUUUAUUUUUGUUUAUUUUUCCAAGGCAUAAACACUUUGUUGUGUUUUUGUUUUUUCUUUUGAAUUAUGAAUGUUUGCCCUGACAAUUUUACCCAAACUAAAGUUUGAUUAAAAUAAACUUGUCUGCAAUUGUGAUAAAAAAUAAUUUGAGACUCCUGCAUUAAGAGGCUAUAUUAAUGUUAGUAUACAUUUAUUUUUUUCUAUCUCUUGUUGUUUCCAUUGUUGCAAAUUAGUUUUUAAUAUGUUUAAAAUUGAAAGGCGUAGGUGUUUUAUACCUCACAGCAGAUGUAUUUUUUAAGAAAUGUUAAACUGAAAUUUCUCAAAAUAAAGCUGUAAAUAACUUGUUUACUUA